AUCGGUGAAACAGUUCAGCAAGACUCUAAUAGGACAGAUUGAAGCAACAGACAAUUUGUUAACCGAUAACUUGAACCUUUUGCUUCAACCUUACAAGCUAUCUCUCAACUCGAAGUACUCGAAAGCAGUACUAUACCACAUUGAAUCCAUCAUAAACCAAUCACUUUUUCAAGACUUCGAAAACUGUGUGUUCCAAAAGAAUGGCUCAGCAAAACACUUAGACCCUCAACAAGAUCGCCA
rnacentral:misc_RNA from 1 species